rnacentral:rRNA from 1 species
UACAGAGGUGGCAAGCGUUGUUCGGAAUUACUGGGCGUAAAGGGCGCGUAGGCGGUCUUGCAAGUCCUGUGUGAAAUCCCUCGGCUCAACUGAGGAACUGCACAGGAAACUGCUUGGCUUGAGUUCGGGAGAGGGAAGCGGAAUUCCGGGUGUAGCGGUGAAAUGCGUAGAUAUCCGGAGGAACACCGGUGGCGAAGGCGGCUUCCUGGACCGACACUGACGCUGAGGAGCGAAAGCGUGGGGAGCAAACAGG